CGAACGCUGGCGGCAGGCUUAACACAUGCAAGUCGAACGGACGUAGCAAUACGUCAGUGGCAGACGGGUGAGUAACGCGUGGGAACGUACCUUUUGGUUCGGAACAACCCAGGGAAACUUGGGCUAAUACCGGAUAAGCCCUUACGGGGAAAGAUUUAUCGACCGAAAGAUCCGGCCCGCGUCUGAUUAGCUAGUUGGUGAGGUAACGGCUCACCGAAGGCGACGAUCAGUAGCUGGUCUGAGAGGAUGAUCAGCCACAUUGGGACUGAGACA
rnacentral:rRNA from 1 species